ACCUUUUGCUCCUCUAGCACCCUCCUCUCCUUGUUGCCCCACUCCCCUUGCUGCCCCCCUCCCCUUGCACAAUCGCUCUCAUUGACUUGCACAAUCCCCCCUCCCAUUGCACUCUCACUCUCAUUCACUCGCUCUCAUUUAAAACUAACACUUGUUUUUCUAUAAUCUAUGCGGAUGGGGCUUAAGCAGAAAGAGAUUAGCGGCGAGUUCACUCCAGAAGCCAACAAAAGAUGCUCUUUACGAGACUUUGGGAAAGGACCAAAAUGGACGUAAGAGGGGUUUUGGCGGUAUUCGUCUGGGUGUGACAAAAGCCUAGAGUAAAGAUUCUUCCACAAUCACAAGGUCACACUCUAAUGCUUCCGCCCCACAUGAUAUGGAAGCCAUGGCACAAGCUCUUCGGGAGAAGCUUACGGAGGAAAUUACAGAGAAGGUGACGGAUAAACUCACGGCAAGUUUCAACGCGGUCCUUACAGAGUAUGGUUUACCGACGAUACGUCAACUUAAACUGGAUCGUCCUUUGGAGGAUAAAGCUAGCCAUCCUAACACACAAAAAUCAGCACCAUCUAUACUUGAGUUAGAGGGAACUACUAGUCUUCUUAUAACUUCAAAAACUAAGUCAUUAUAUAAACUAACCUCAAUUCAUAUACUUUUGAAGGAAGAAAUGCCUUGCCAGCUUUUACUAGAUGUAAAAGAUGAGGGUUUGAUUGUGGUGGCUGAAGGAAAUGCCCAACCACGAAGUGAACGAGCAACAUUCCAUCAUCAGUCUGUGGACAAUGAUCACUUGGCGGUUAGUGUGGUCUCGAUCACUCCUGGUUAAGAAGAAUUUUCUCUCCCAUUGCCUGACCCGUCGACAGAUACAAAUGUAUUGACCGACGCUCGUGGUGGUUAUGUGCUCUGGCCAUCUGCAUUGGCGAGGUUUUCAGACGAGUUUUGGAGCGAAUAAAGAAGCCAACGAAAGCAAGGCGGACUCACCUCCUCUAGAAAAGGUGAAGGAAAAGGAGGGUUCAAGCAAGCCAAAGAAGACGAUUUCGGGGGAAGGAACACAAGUCUCCAAAGGUUCAAGUCGCCACCAAACCCUCCUAAACCUACUUGGAUCGAAUCAUCAAUGCUUCAAGGUCUCACUAAGGCAUGCUCAUGGCUAUACGCAGAUAUGCGUGAUAUGCCGGAUGAUACACCUUUGGAAGUUAAGUUGAGUACCACGGAAUUCAACUACCACGAGGAAGCGUCGACAUGGGUGUCCAUGGAUGAUGUGAAAGAGGUCCUUUGCGGAGAUAUGCUGAAUAUUUCGUUAAUUUAAGCAUUCAUGAGCUAUAACAUCGGUACUUAUGAAAUAUAUGAACUUUAUUUGCAAUAUCUAAUAAUAUAUCUAUGUUAUGUAUAUGGUUGUGCUUGAAUUGAAGAUUACUCCAAGAGUCUCCUUGUCGACACGAUCAGUUUGGGUGGUUAUGUCCAGAUUUCGUCCGAGCUGACAAUUGUUUGCAAAACACAGCUGAGGUUAAGGAGUAUAUUUGGCUAUGUCUCCAAACAGCUAAACGUGCACAACAUAAGUUCAUAUUUAUCCCUUGUUUUGAAGAGUAUAGUUCUUAACCUUAUCCAAUUUUAACAUUUAAUAAUUAUUAUACAAUACAAGUAUGUACUCACAUGAUUUCUUCCUAACUUGAUUUUGUGAUUUUAGUACCCAUUGGUCGCUUCUUGUGAUUUCUCCUUCAAACAACACAAUAUAUCAGUUUGAUUUUGCAGCUCAACAUCCACCCCGAUCCUUACUCCUCAAAUCAUGCAUAAAUAGGUAUAUUUAUUAUUAGCUCCAACAUGUUUCACUAAUUUCUUCCUUUGUCCGCUUCUCACAUGAAACUAAGAUAACUACAACUGCUUGAAGAAGGUUGAGAGAACAGGAAGAGUUCCUCAGUGGAAAGCAAUGAAGUGUGCUCAACAACCCGGGGGAACAGAGUGUGGUUACUAUGUGUUGAGGUUAAUGUUCGAUAUGGCCUCAAAUUGCAAGGAAGUUGAUAUUGAGCAGGGAAAGCCAAUGGAGGAUUCUUUCACCACCUCCGAGAUAAACGAGGUUCGGGAUUUGCUAGCACGCUACCUUACCGACAUUUGCAUGUGAGGAUGAUGUCGCGGCUUUGAGCUUCUUUGUUAGGAUUAUGUUACUAGCUACACUCACUUCAUAUGUUUAUUUUUUAUUUUAGUACUUAUUUAUAACUUCAUUUGUAGUAUAUUAUUAAUAUUAUAUAUAAUAAUACCAUUUUGAGUACUUUA